CACGCCGUACUGGUAAGUGACAAAAAUGUCCUCAGACGUUAAAAUAAAUAUCAAUUUAGGGCCAGGGUUUCGCGAUAAAACCCUAACCUCGCCUCCAAAAGGGGGAUCAGAUCGGCCAAGGUUCGAAAGAUUAAAUCGCGACGAUGAGGGCGAAGUGGAAGAAGAAACGCAUGAGGAGGCUCAAGAGGAAGCGCCGAAAGAUGAGGCAGAGAUCCAAGUAAUUGGACAAGGACUACAUCAACCCCCCCAGCAUCUAAGUAGAUAGGGAUUCUGAUGGAUCCUACACAUUGAUGAUGUUUGAGUUAUAGGUUGAUGGAGGACUGUCCUUGGUGUCCUGUUUAGGAUUUAUACCGUACAGUUAGCCGGUGGUUUCUGUUUGCGAUUUUAGAUGCUUUGAAGGAUAAACUUGUAGUUGACCUUGUUACGUUUUAAUAAUUGUCUUGACUAUGUGCGGUUUAAAUUUUUGUGUGGUGUGUCCUCUUAAAUCUAGCUUUUGUUUGUGAAUCGUCGGUAUUCUUUUGCUGUUGUCCACCGUGAGGCAACUAGUAUUGAUUUUUCA